UACGGAGGGUGCAAACGUUGCUCGGAAUCAUUGGGCGUAAAGCGCACGUAGGUGGCCUGUUAAGUCGGGUGUGAAAUCCCUGGGCUCAACCAAGGAAGUGCAUCCGAAACUGCUGAGCUUGAGUACGAAAGAGGAUCGCAGAAUUCCCGGUGUAGAGGUGAAAUUCGUAGAUAUCGGGAGGAACACCAGUGGCGAAGGCGGCGAUCUGGGUCGAUACUGACGCUGAGGUGCGAAAGCGUGGGGAGCAAACAGG
rnacentral:rRNA from 1 species